CGUUUUUUUAAUUAAAAAAAGGGAAAUUAUCUCAUUAUUUUUAACGUUUUUAUAAAUGUUUUUUUAAAAUGUUUUUUAAAUAUUAUUGAAAACAUUUUUUAAAUAUUGUUUUGCUGAUUGGGUUACUGUCAGAAAUUUCUGUCCGUAAAACAGAUGUCUCCAGCAUCCCCUUAAAUUUACAUUAUAAAAAGAUUACUUUACAUGAGUAAUUAUUUGUUCUAAUGUUGUUUAGUAGAUCUCAUUUGCAGUUUACUUAUUUUUGUUGGCGUCCAAUUAUGGCCAGAUUUUAUUGAUAUUAUUUUAUCUACAAAUGGGUCUCGAUCACGUCGCCUGCAAAUCUUUACUGAAUACUUUAUUGAUCAAGAAAGAUAUUACUAUAUACAGCAAUUUCACAUAAAUGCAGCUUUUUGCAUAGGAUUCACUGCAUUUGUAACAACAGGAUCAAUGCUCCUUACAUGUGGUCAACAUGUAUGUGGAAUGUUUACAAUUGCUAGUUAUCGUGUCAAGAAAGCAAUAGAAAUUUACAUUCGAAGUAUUAAUUUUAAAAACAAAAAAUUGAUUCAUAAUAGUCUUUUGUAUGGUGUACAUAUUCAUCGAAAGGCAAUAAUGUUUUCCGAAUAUAUAAUAUCUAACUUUGAGAUGUCAUUUAUGUUUGUAAUGAUAUUUGGAAUAUCUGCUUUGAGUCUUAAUAUUUUCCAAUCUUUUCAGAUCUUAUCAUCUGGAUUUAAUACUGAGGAACUUCUAAUACAUUUUAUAAUAAUAUUAUCUUUUUUUCUAUACUUGUUCUUUUCUAAUUUUAUGGGACAAAAAAUUACAGAUCAUUAUAAUCUUAUAUUUAUCACUGCAUAUGAUGUCCGGUGGUACGCAACUCCUCUACAUAUACAAAAAUUAAUACAAUUUUUGUUAUUAAGAGGCAACAAACCUUUUGUUAUGAAAAUUGGUAAAAUGUUUGAGGGGUCCUUACAACGUUUUGCUACGCUAACAAAUGUGACCUUGUCUUAUUUUAUUGCCAUGAAUUCUAUGAAAAAAUGAUGAAACGAUUGAUCAAUGUACAUUAUUAAUAUGUAAAGUAGGCAAAGAAUAAAUUAUUUUAUGUUUAAUUAAAUGGAAUGUAGUAAACAUAUAAUAAAUAUACAAAUGUGUAUAUCAAGAUACAUGUCAUUGUCUUGCAUCAAGUGAAAGCGCAGCGCGAAAUCACAUUGUGUAUUAUACACGAGUAAACGAUUUGCAGGCACUCUAAAUUAUCAGAUCUCAAUAACAAUUAAAUCAAUCGAGUUCUAAUGCAAUCGAAAGCGUGGGUUUAAUUUAUAUAACAAAUAAUUUGUAAAAAACUGUUUUUAUUUUUUUUCUACAUAUUAUACGAAGGAAAAUAUCGUGAUGCAAAAUAUAAGUUUUUUAUUUACGAAACAUCAAUACUAGAUGUGAUUCUUAUAACCCUUACCUGCAACAUUUUUUCCAUAAUUUUGAUAUUAUAUCUGCAUAUUGAUAUGUAACGAUCGACUCGUUCUCGCGCACAAACUAACUCGCUAGGAGGACGGAAAGGUUUCAAAACAGCAGAUACAAUGUUCUAAUUAAUUACAGUUUAUUAUUUCCAGCGAUUAUAUAUAAUAUUUACAGGUGUCCGUGUGGUGGCUUCUUUGCGGGAUCAGUUGUUGCGUGUUGUCGAAACUAUUUUGGUCGCGCCCAUGAAGUAAGAAUAAACCCACACAGCACACUUUAUCCUGAGGAUAUCAAAGAAGAUAUAAAAGAUUAUAAUAUUUAGGGAUAUGAAAAAGGACAAAAAAUCACAGUCAAUAAUUUUCAAUAAUAUUGUUUCAAUUAUAAUAGUUUUUUGAUGCACUAUACUAUAUUUAUGUUUGUUAUCAAAAGUUAUUGAUUUAUUAAGACAUAUUUUAGGACAACUUUUAUAUUUUCUGCAAACAAUGUAUGCAAUUUAUUUGCUUAAGCGCAAUCAGUAACCUAUUUUAUUGACAGACAAUUAAUAAUAAAAUUCUUUACUGUAAUACAUGUCAUACAUCAUUUAUACAAGAGUAAUGAAAACUUUUUUCCGAAGACAUUUCAGCAUUCAAAUAUAAAUAAUAAAAUUUUGGUAGAAUAAAUCGAUGUUUUAAAUAUCAAUUAUAUAUAAUAAAUAAGAAAAAACAUAUAUGUUUGACUUUUCUUGAGUCUUUCUUAUGAUUAAGUUUAACCAAAACUAUAUAGAUGAGUUGGCAUAUAAUGUAUUAAUAAAUUACAUUUGAAACGUAAUUUUCUACAUACACUUGGUAGCUUAUAAAUUUUUCAUUAACAUUGACACGUAUUGCGUCAAAGAGGUUUCGUAAAGGAAAGAUUAAACAUUAAUACAAUGACAAUGUGGAAUCGUUAAAUAACGUUAAACAUGUUGUAUAUUUAACAGUGCACCAUUAUACUUUGCUCUUCCGUUUUCACAUGAUUCUUUACAUACUAUUAAUAGAAUACAAAGGUAUAAAUUAAUUAAAAAUAAUUGUUGACUUAAUAAAAUAAUGGCUUUGUACUUUAUGACCGUAUUCAGAACGCGUUUCUAUCCACAUAGCAUGUAAUAUUAUAAUAAUAUCACAGUAAUAUUACGUGCUAUGUGGGUAAAGAUGUUAGCGUGUUUUCUUAUUAUUUUAUUCUUCUUUGGCGUCUAAUACAUAUAAUAAAUAAUAAGGAAACAUAUAUGUUUAAUUUUUUUCUAUAAGUUUUUUUUGUCAUUGAGUGUAAUCAUAUGUAGAUGAUUUGACAUAUAAUGUAUUAAUAAAUUACUAAUAAAAUUUUCUUCUCAAAAAGAAUUUAUAUAUUUUUCAGUAACCUUGACACGUAUUGCGUCAAAAAGGUUUCGUAAAUAAGGAAAGAUUAAAGAUUAAUAAAAUGACACGUGGAAUUGUUAAAUAAUGUUAAACAUGUAUUCAAUAGCAAUCUCUUCCGUUUUUACGUAAUUCUUUACAUAUAUUUACCAAUUUAUUGGAAUACAAAAAUUAUAUGUAAAUUAAUUUAAAAAAAUUAUUGAUUUAAUAAAAUAUAAUACCUUUGUAUGACUCGUAUUCAGAACACAUUUCUAAAGAAGUUAGCGUAUUUUCUUCUCAUUUUAUUCUUGUUUUACGUUUAAUGAACGUAAAAAAGAUAGAAUAAUGACAAAGUGCAUUGGCAUAUUGAAAGCACAUUAUAUAUACACUGAGCAACAAAAUUAACGCAACAAAAAUUUUUACCAAAAUUUCACUCAACUUCAAAUAAUUGUAACUUCGCGAAAACUUAUCGUAUUGGAAAGUUCUUUUUUUUAUUUUAAAGCUUGACAUCUCUACUUUAAAGAGCAUUUGUCAGAUUUUGAUACUCACCUUUUCCCUUUUCGGCAUUUCUUUAAAAGUAAGAACGUGUUUUGUCUUAAAAAAUUUUUAUACUUUAACGCGGGAGCGUC
rnacentral:lncRNA from 1 species